rnacentral:rRNA from 1 species
UACGGGGGGAGCAAGCGUUGUUCGGAUUUACUGGGCGUAAAGGGCGCGUAGGCGGCCAGCACAAGUCAGUUGUGAAAUCUCCGAGCUUAACUCGGAAAGGUCAACUGAUACUGUGCGGCUAGAGUGCGGAAGGGGCAACUGGAAUUCUCGGUGUAGCGGUGAAAUGCGUAGAUAUCGAGAGGAACACCUGCGGCGAAGGCGGGUUGCUGGGCUGACACUGACGCUGAUGCGCGAAAGCUAGGGGAGCGAACGGG